rnacentral:miRNA from 1 species
UGAUAUGUCGCGAUUUACCG